rnacentral:rRNA from 1 species
GCCGGAUGCUCCGACUCCUCGCAUGGGGUGUCGGGAAAGAUUUCAUCGGUAUGGGAUGGGGUCGCGUCCUAUCAGGUAGUCGGCGGGGUAACGGCCCACCGAGCCUACGACGGGUAGCCGGCCUGAGAGGGCGACCGGCCACAUUGGGACUGAGAUACGGCCCAGACUCCUACGGGAGGCAGCAGUGGGGAAUAUUGCACAAUGGGCGCAAGCCUGAUGCAGCGACGCCGCGUGCGGGAUGACGGCCUUCGGGUUGUAAACCGCUUUUGAUCGGGAGCAAGCCUUCGGGUGAGUGUACCUUUCGAAUAAGCACCGGCUAACUACGUGCCAGCAGCCGCGGUAAUACGUAGGGUGCAAGCGUUAUCCGGAAUUAUUGGGCGUAAAGGGCUCGUAGGCGGUUCGUCGCGUCCGGUGUGAAAGUCCAUCGCUUAACGGUGGAUCUGCGCCGGGUACGGGCGGGCUGGAGUGCGGUAGGGGAGACUGGAAUUCCCGGUGUAACGGUGGAAUGUGUAGAUAUCGGAAAA